AUUGAACGCUGGCGGCAUGCCUUACACAUGCAAGUCGAACGGUAACAGGUCUUCGGAUGCUGACGAGUGGCGAACGGGUGAGUAAUACAUCGGAACGUGCCUAGUAGUGGGGGAUAACUACUCGAAAGAGUGGCUAAUACCGCAUGAGAUCUACGGAUGAAAGCAGGGGAUCGCAAGACCUUGUGCUACUAGAGCGGCCGAUGGCAGAUUAGGUAGUUGGUGGGAUAAAAGCUUACCAAGUCGACGAUCUGUAGCUGGUCUGAGAGGACGAUCAGCCACACUAGGACUGAGACACGGCCCAGACUCCUACGGGAGGCAGCAGUGGGGAAUUUUGGACAAUGGGCGAAAGCCUGAUCCAGCAAUGCCGCGUGCAGGAUGAAGGCCUUCGGGUUGUAAACUGCUUUUGUACGGAACGAAAAGCCCCGGGUUAAUACCCUGGGGUCAUGACGGUACCGUAAGAAUAAGCAUCGGCUAACUACGUGCCAGCCGCCGCAGUAA
rnacentral:rRNA from 1 species